rnacentral:lncRNA from 1 species
CUUCAACUUUCUCCCUCAAUCAUAGCCUUUCUGACUUUCCCUCCAGGUCACCGAUAUAAGCUUUCUCUCAUUCACUCACUGUCUAUCCCAUCCCCAUUGACUUUUCAUCUGUGAUCGUCCACAUUUAUCCACUCCUACCGACGGUAAAACCCUUCCUAAUCCUUCAAAAUUCUAAAUUUUUAAUUCAAAUCUUCUCCACCCCUUCGUCACCAAAGGUAAAACAAGUUUUCUGCAAAUACUUGAUUGGUUAUGUGACUACAUGAGUUUUUGUAGUUAAUCACUUCAAAUGUAUCAGAUUUAUUGUUUCUAUAGUGAAAUGGCAAAUUUUUUAGAUUAAUUUAGAAAUCAUAGUAGAACCUAUGCAGAUAAAUCGGUAGAUUCCACUGAUGCUGAAUGGGAGUUAGCCUUUAAAGUCCGAAUAUGUGUUUACUAGUAGUGGAGGUAUUACAUAGGACCAAGCUGGACUGUGUAUCAGGGAAAUUUCUUCUCCCUAUGGCGCUUGCCUUAUUGUGGAGGCUGAGCUUCAAGUCAUAUUGGAUAGGACUCUUCUUUCUGGAUAACUUAGGAUUUCAAAUAUUUUGGUUGAGGCUGACUUGACUGUGUGACUUGACUGUGUCCAUUCACUUUAUCACCAUGGAUGGAGGACUAUGGACAAUUCAGGGUAAUCUCAGACACAUUAGACACCUCAUUUAUUUUGAUCAUGAUACUAUUUUUCGUACCCAUCAUAAGCAGAACCAGCUUGCAGAUUCGCUUGCCUUAGAGGGCUAGGACAGCUGUCACCACGAGGAUUAUGGUCCACAUGACUAUCCACGAUGGCUCAGGGCACUUGUCCAGAUUGAUAGAUAUGGAUUGCCUAGCUUUAGUAGAGAUUUGUAGUUAGAACUCAUUUAUUUUCAUUGUAGUGGAGUAGUACUUCUCACAUACUUUCACUAUAUUUGUUGCUUUGUUGAUUUUUGAAGGUUAGGUUUAUGUUCCGUUCCUUCCCUAUAUUCUCGUCUUUUUGAUGAUAUAUACAUGGUAGAGGAAUACUAAUCCCAGCGACCUUCUUUGGUGGAAACUAGAAGAUCACUAAGGAUGUGUGUAUGUUUAACGUGUAAUUCUCCUAUCUGUUAGAUGUCUAAAGUUUAAAUUUUGUAAAUUUUAGAUUUCAUAUACAAGAUUUAUUUCAGAAAGUCAUACAAUCUAAAAAUCUAAACUUUCUAAAAGAAAAUUUCUUUAAUUUUGUAAUGGGUUCUCUGAAGCCUUAAUGCUUUUAGGCAGAAGUUAAACUUCCACAUUUUAUGAACUAUUUAGGUAGACUUUCAUAAAUUUAUGGUUUUUGUAAUGUCACGAGUCCCCAGAGCUCGGAGGAUUAUAGCUUUUGGUAUCAAGCCCGGUUUUACUUUUCUGUAGACUUGCAUUAAAAUCUUAUUGGUUUCAAAUUUUAAAAACUUUUAGAAUGAAUUGAAAUCUAUACUAAAUUACGCGUCACCACUGUUCCCUCCUCAUGCCAUGUCAACCACAAGGUAAAUGAAAAAUUUUAUGAAAUUUCUUUGCUUUGGAUACAAUAUCAGUCAUGUUUUGAUGGAAU